rnacentral:rRNA from 3 species
GGACUACUAGGGUAUCUAAUCCCGUUCGCUCCCCUAGCUUUCGCGCCUCAGCGUCAGAAGAGAUCCAGCACGUCGCUUUCGCCACCGGCGUUCCUUCCGAUAUCAACGCAUUUCACCGCUCCACCGGAAGUUCCACAUGCCCCUACCUCCCUCAAGGCUGUCAGUAUCAAAGGCAGUUUUCCGGUUGAGCCGAAAGAUUUCACCCCUGACUUGACAGUCCGCCUACGCGCCCUUUAAGCCCAGUGAUUCCGAACAACGUUUGCACGGUUCGUCUUACCGCGGCGGCUGGCAC